rnacentral:rRNA from 1 species
CGGUUGAUCCUGCCGGACCUCACUGCUAUCGGGGUGGGACUAAGACAUGCAAGUCGUACGCCUCCCAGCCGCCGGGGGAGGCGUGGCGCACGGCUCCGUAACACGUGGCUAACCUACCCUUGGGACGGGGAUAACCCCGGGAAACUGGGGCUAAUCCCCGAUAGGCGAGGAUGCCUGGAAUGGUUCCUCGCCGAAAGGGCGCCGGAACCGUGCUUCCGGUGUCGCCCAAGGAUGGGGCCGCGGCCGAUCAGGUUGUUGGUGGGGUAACGGCCCACCAAGCCGAUAACCGGUACGGGCCGUGAGAGCGGGAGCCCGGAGAUGGGCACUGAGAUAAGGGCCCAGGCCCUACGGGGCGCAGCAGUCGCGAAACCUCCGCAAUGCGCGAAAGCGCGACGGGGCCACCCCGAGUGCCGCCCGCUGAGGGUGGCUUUUCCCCGGUGUAGAUAGCCGGGGGAAUAAGGGGAGGGCAAGUCUGGUGUCAGCCGCCGCGGUAAUACCAGCUCCCCGAGUGGUGGGGACGAUUAUUGGGCCUAAAGCGUCCGUAGCCGGCCCGGCAAGUCUCCCGUUAAAUCCAGCGAUCUAAUCGCUGGACUGCGGGAGAUACUGUCGGGCUAGGGGGCGGGAGAGGCCGGCGGUAUUCCCGGGGUAGGGGUGAAAU